AUGAGCUGCACACAGUUUGCCUUCCCCUGUUUUUAUUGGAAAGCAGUGCUGGAGACAAAAGUGCAGAGCUUGGGUCGGGCACGAAUUCUACAGGCAGGGAAUGUGGCCCGGCAGUGUCUGACCCUCAGCAGGGACAAGGCACAGCAGCAGCCGAGGGGAUUCCUCUGCCACCGUGCAGGAGCCAGGACUCUGGAUCCGGGCUGGACACGGCAAAGUUCCCGUGUUUGCACAGACUCAGGGGCUGCCCCCGGAGCGAGCGGGGCUCGGCCGUGGGGAGCGUGGGGAGAGCGGGGAACGGACACUCGGACACGCGGACACGCGGACACUCGGACACAUGGACAAACGGCCCCGCCGCUUCAGUUGCAGCGGCAGCGGCGGCAGCGGCGGCAGCGAAAUCGCAAGCGACUCUACACUCUCCGUUUCUUGCUCUUGCUCCUCCUCUCCCUCUAUUCCGCACCUUCUCCCCGCCUCCCCUUCCCGGUGUCCCCCUCCUCUCUCGGUGUCCCUUUCCCGGUGGCCCCCUCCUUUCCCGGUGUCCCCGUCCUCUCCCGGACUCUCCCCCUCCCCCUGCCGGGCCGGGCCAUGCCCCAGGCCCGCCCCCGGCCCCGGGCGGGGCCGCCCCCUCCCCGGCCCCGGGCGUCCCGCCGCGGUCUGGCCUCCGCCCGGCUCUCGCCGUCCUGGCUGUGGCGCUGCCGGGCGGGCAUCAGUGCCCGGGGCUGGGGCGGCAUCUCCACCCUUUGGCUCCGCCUGUCCCGAGCCCGGCCCCGGCCCCGACGCGGGGUCCCGAGCCCGGCCCUGGCUCCGGCCUCGGCUCCGGCCCCGGCUCCUCCCGGGGCCCGCGGAGGACACACGGGGCGCGGCCGCUCCCGCCGCCUCCGCUGCGGCUUCCCCGGCCCGAGCUCCGCCGCUCGGCAGCGCGGCCGCCGGCCCCGAGCCGCCGGUGUCCCGUUCGGAUGGGGAUGCCCGGGCCGGGGCGGUCGGGGGCCGUGUCUGGCCCCGGGCCGAGCGCUGACGGCCGCGUGUCGCCCGCAGGCAAGGCGCAGGAGGCCCUGCAGGAGCGGUACCGGCUGGGUUCGCUGCUGGGCAGCGGCGGCUUCGGCAGCGUCUUCUCGGGCACGCGGCUCGCGGACGGCGCCCCGGUGGCCAUCAAAUGCGUGCCGCGGGACCGCGUCCGGCACUGGGGCGAGCUGCCCGACGGCGCCCGUGCGCCCCUGGAGAUCGUGCUGCUGGACAAGGUGUCCACUGGGUUCUGUGGUGUCAUCCGGCUCCUGGAGUGGGUUGAGCUGCCCAGCAGCUUCUUGCUGGUGCUGGAGCGUCCGGAGCGGUGUCAGGACCUGUCGGGUUUGCUGGCGGAGCGGAGGUUCGUGCCCGAGGAGGAGGCGCGGGGGCUGUUCGGCCAGGUGCUGGAGGCCGUGCGGCACUGCACCAGCUGCGGGGUCCUGCACCGGGACAUCAAGCCCGAGAACAUCCUGCUCGACCUGGCCACCGGGCAGCUGA
rnacentral:lncRNA from 1 species